rnacentral:rRNA from 1 species
AUGCGAGGUGUACCGCGGGAACUCGCUGAGCACACUCUUAAUAUUGAUCCGAAGUUCAAACCGAUCAAACAGUUUCUUCGCCGCUUUAACGAAGAGCGGCGUAAGGCCAUUGGUGAAGAGGUAGCCCGAUUGUUGGCAGCAGGGUUUAUUGUGGAGGUAUUUCAUCCUGAGUGGUUGGCUAAUCCGGUGCUGGUACUUAAGAAAAACGGCACUUGGCGUAUGUGUGUGGACUACAUAGAUUUGAACAAAGCUUGCCCAGCUGAUCCCUUUGCCCUCCCUCGUAUUGAUCAAAUCAUCGAUGCUACGGUGGGUUGUGAGCGUUUGAGUUUUUGGAUGCUUAUUCUGGUUAUCAUCAGAUCAAGAUGGCAGUUAAGGACCAAGAGAAGACAACUCUCAUCACUCCCUUUGGAGCCUUUUGUUAUGUGUCUAUGCCCUUUGGGCUCAAGAGUGCCCAAGCAACUUAUCAGCGAUGUGUGUAGAAUUGUCUUUAUACUCAGAUUGGGCGCAAUGUUCAUGCUUAUGUGGAUGAUAUUGUUGUAA